CGGCGGUGGGUUCAAUUAACCUGGACUCAUCUUUAACAUGUACUUUCGUUUUUGUUACAUCUACAUAGAGCGGUCACAUCGCAAGGAGAAAGAUACUGCGCGAGCGAGCGAGAGAGUUUUAGAGAGCGAAGAUCAUAGACAUGGGGUCGCCAUGCAAGGAUGAUAGGGAGGAAGUCAUACAGGCAUGGUACAUGGAUGAUAGUGACGAAGACCAGAGACUUCCCCAUCACCGGGAACCCAAGGAAUUUGUGUCCCUGGAACAACUUGCUGAACUUGGAGUGCUCAGCUGGCGGUUAGACGCUGAUAAUUAUGAAACAGAUGAGAAAUUGAAGAAAA